AAAUUGAAGAGUUUGAUCAUGGCUCAGAUUGAACGCUGGCGGCAGGCCUAACACAUGCAAGUCGAACGGUAACAGGAAACAGCUUGCUGUUUCGCUGACGAGUGGCGGACGGGUGAGUAAUGUCUGGGAAACUGCCUGAUGGAGGGGGAUAACUACUGGAAACGGUAGCUAAUACCGCAUAAUGUCGCAAGACUAAAGAGGGGGACCUUCGGGCCUCUUGCCAUCGGAUGUGC
rnacentral:rRNA from 1 species